CACCCAUGUCUUGCGUUGUCGGUGAUGUCAAGUGAAAAGCGGAUGCUGCGGAGCGGAUCCCCGCCACCGCACCCAUUACGGGAGGAGAGGACUAGGUGGAAUCUGGACAAUUCUAUGAUACCUGCUUUGUUACUUAAACAGUGCUCCUGGUUUGAUAUAAAGAACCAGAGCGGGCAGAGCGGCUCCCGGUGUCUCGAAAGAGCAUCAAAUUCAAAAGACGACUUUGCAUUUUGUGCAAUCAUGAGCUGGGAUGUAGGAGGGUGCCUGGGUUUGGUAAAUCAUUGCUGAGUUAGCUGGCUGGCUGUUCUUAUUUCUGAGUCGCUAUGGCUAAGCAAUAUGAUGUGCUUUUCCGACUCUUGCUUCUUGGAGAUUCGGGGGUCGGAAAAACGUGUUUAUUAUGCAGAUUCACGGACAACGAAUUUCACCCGUCUCACAUCUCCACAAUCGGAGUUGAUUUUAAAAUGAAGACGUUGGAGAUUGAUGGCAUCAAAGUACGGAUACAAAUAUGGGACACAGCAGGACAGGAGAGAUACCAGACCAUCACUAAGCAGUACUACAGACGAGCACAGGGAAUGUUCCUGGUUUAUGACAUCACGAGUGAGCGAUCUUUCCAGCACAUAAUGAAGUGGGCCAGUGAUGUGGAUGAGUAUGCUCCUGAUAACAUCCAGAAGAUCCUGAUAGGGAACAAGUCCGAUGAGGAGGAGAAGAGGCAGGUAGCUACAGUACAGGGAAGUAACCUGGCCAGGGCCUACGGGAUGGACUUCUUUGAGACAAGUGCCUUUACCAACCGUAACAUUACAGAGUCCUUCACGCGAUUGGCUGAGCAGGUGUUGGUGGCCAAUAAGAAAGACCUUGACCUCCUGAGGGCGUCGGUCACAGACGGGCUCAACCUCGCCGCCCUGGAGGAAGAGGAGGGUAUAACGGAUGGGUCCGCCACCGCACCGAAGAGCUGCUGGUGUUAAGGACUGGGCCUGGUCGAAAGGAGUUCACUAUGAAGGGGAAAUGGGUGAAACCUACAUACUAGCAAGGGACGAGCAAGAGCCACCUGCAUGCGUCCAACUCAAUCUGUUUUCUUUCUCGCAACUUCAAUGAAGUUAAAUAAUUCCACUGAUCAUGGUCUACAUUUUAAAUAGCAUUUGACCAGAGUGGCCUGAUGUUGGUAAGUCAUUCUAGUGUCUGCUACUACUGACUCAAUGUUACUUCUGCUCUGCUACUAUCAGAAUCUACUGUGUAUGUGUGUUACUGAUAAUAUGGUAUGUUCUACUGAAUGAAAUACUGGACUAUGCUCUCUCAAGAUACAGAUGAAUUGUAUUUUUAUGUUGUUUGAUGUUAAAAAAAAUUGUUUCUCUUAGACUAUUUGAAUUGCAUUCAGUGAAUAUAUAUGAUGUGAAACAUUGUAAUUCUUUCAGAUGUUUGUUGAAUAAAUACUUGCAGAUAAAUGACC